GGGUUGUGAGGUUAAGCGACUAAGCGUACACGGUGGAUGCCCUGGCAGUCAGAGGCGAUGAAGGACGUGCUAAUCUGCGAUAAGCGUCGGUAAGGUGAUAUGAACCGUUAUAACCGGCGAUUUCCGAAUGGGGAAACCCAGUGUGAUUCGUCACACUAUCAUUAACUGAAUCCAUAGGUUAAUGAGGCGAACCGGGGGAACUGAAACAUCUAAGUACCCCGAGGAAAAGAAAUCAACCGAGAUUCCCCCAGUAGCGGCGAGCGAACGGGGAGCAGCCCAGAGCCUGAAUCAGUGUGUGUGUUAGUGGAAGCGUCUGGAAAGGCGCGCGAUACAGGGUGACAGCCCCGUACACAAAAAUGCACAUGCUGUGAGCUCGAUGAGUAGGGCGGGACACGUGGUAUCCUGUCUGAAUAUGGGGGGACCAUCCUCCAAGGCUAAAUACUCCUGACUGACCGAUAGUGAACCAGUACCGUGAGGGAAAGGCGAAAAGAACCCCGGCGAGGGGAGUGAAAAAGAACCUGAAACCGUGUACGUACAAGCAGUGGGAGCACAGAGCAAUCUGUGUGACUGCGUACCUUUUGUAUAAUGGGUCAGCGACUUAUAUUCUGUAGCAAGGUUAACCGAAUAGGGGAGCCGAAGGGAAACCGAGUCUUAACUGGGCGUUAAGUUGCAGGGUAUAGACCCGAAACCCGGUGAUCUAGCCAUGGGCAGGUUGAAGGUUGGGUAACACUAACUGGAGGACCGAACCGACUAAUGUUGAAAAAUUAGCGGAUGACUUGUGGCUGGGGGUGAAAGGCCAAUCAAACCGGGAGAUAGCUGGUUCUCCCCGAAAGCUAUUUAGGUAGCGCCUCGUGAAUUCAUCUCCGGGGGUAGAGCACUGUUUCGGCAAGGGGGUCAUCCCGACUUACCAACCCGAUGCAAACUGCGAAUACCGGAGAAUGUUAUCACGGGAGACACACGGCGGGUGCUAACGUCCGUCGUGAAGAGGGAAACAACCCAGACCGCCAGCUAAGGUCCCAAAGUCAUGGUUAAGUGGGAAACGAUGUGGGAAGGCCCAGACAGCCAGGAUGUUGGCUUAGAAGCAGCCAUCAUUUAAAGAAAGCGUAAUAGCUCACUGGUCGAGUCGGCCUGCGCGGAAGAUGUAACGGGGCUAAACCAUGCACCGAAGCUGCGGCAGCGACGCUUAUGCGUUGUUGGGUAGGGGAGCGUUCUGUAAGCCUGUGAAGGUGUACUGUGAGGUAUGCUGGAGGUAUCAGAAGUGCGAAUGCUGACAUAAGUAACGAUAAAGCGGGUGAAAAGCCCGCUCGCCGGAAGACCAAGGGUUCCUGUCCAACGUUAAUCGGGGCAGGGUGAGUCGACCCCUAAGGCGAGGCCGAAAGGCGUAGUCGAUGGGAAACAGGUUAAUAUUCCUGUACUUGGUGUUACUGCGAAGGGGGGACGGAGAAGGCUAUGUUGGCCGGGCGACGGUUGUCCCGGUUUAAGCGUGUAGGCUGGUUUUCCAGGCAAAUCCGGAAAAUCAAGGCUGAGGCGUGAUGACGAGGCACUACGGUGCUGAAGCAACAAAUGCCCUGCUUCCAGGAAAAGCCUCUAAGCAUCAGGUAACAUCAAAUCGUACCCCAAACCGACACAGGUGGUCAGGUAGAGAAUACCAAGGCGCUUGAGAGAACUCGGGUGAAGGAACUAGGCAAAAUGGUGCCGUAACUUCGGGAGAAGGCACGCUGAUAUGUAGGUGAAGUCCCUCGCGGAUGGAGCUGAAAUCAGUCGAAGAUACCAGCUGGCUGCAACUGUUUAUUAAAAACACAGCACUGUGCAAACACGAAAGUGGACGUAUACGGUGUGACGCCUGCCCGGUGCCGGAAGGUUAAUUGAUGGGGUCAGCGCAAGCGAAGCUCUUGAUCGAAGCCCCGGUAAACGGCGGCCGUAACUAUAACGGUCCUAAGGUAGCGAAAUUCCUUGUCGGGUAAGUUCCGACCUGCACGAAUGGCGUAAUGAUGGCCAGGCUGUCUCCACCCGAGACUCAGUGAAAUUGAACUCGCUGUGAAGAUGCAGUGUACCCGCGGCAAGACGGAAAGACCCCGUGAACCUUUACUAUAGCUUGACACUGAACAUUGAGCCUUGAUGUGUAGGAUAGGUGGGAGGCUUUGAAGUGUGGACGCCAGUCUGCAUGGAGCCGACCUUGAAAUACCACCCUUUAAUGUUUGAUGUUCUAACGUUGACCCGUGAUCCGGGUUGCGGACAGUGUCUGGUGGGUAGUUUGACUGGGGCGGUCUCCUCCUAAAGAGUAACGGAGGAGCACGAAGGUUGGCUAAUCCUGGUCGGACAUCAGGAGGUUAGUGCAAUGGCAUAAGCCAGCUUGACUGCGAGCGUGACGGCGCGAGCAGGUGCGAAAGCAGGUCAUAGUGAUCCGGUGGUUCUGAAUGGAAGGGCCAUCGCUCAACGGAUAAAAGGUACUCCGGGGAUAACAGGCUGAUACCGCCCAAGAGUUCAUAUCGACGGCGGUGUUUGGCACCUCGAUGUCGGCUCAUCACAUCCUGGGGCUGAAGUAGGUCCCAAGGGUAUGGCUGUUCGCCAUUUAAAGUGGUACGCGAGCUGGGUUUAGAACGUCGUGAGACAGUUCGGUCCCUAUCUGCCGUGGGCGCUGGAGAACUGAGGGGGGCUGCUCCUAGUACGAGAGGACCGGAGUGGACGCAUCACUGGUGUUCGGGUUGUCAUGCCAAUGGCACUGCCCGGUAGCUAAAUGCGGAAGAGAUAAGUGCUGAAAGCAUCUAAGCACGAAACUUGCCCCGAGAUGAGUUCUCCCUGACUCCUUGAGAGUCCUGAAGGAACGUUGAAGACGACGACGUUGAUAGGCCGGGUGUGUAAGCGCAGCGAUGCGUUGAGCUAACCGGUACUAAUGAACCGUGAGGCUUAACCUUACAACGCCGAAGGUGUUU
rnacentral:rRNA from 1 species